rnacentral:misc_RNA from 1 species
AACGCACCUUGCGCUCUUUGGUAUUCCGAAGAGCAUGCCUGUUUGAGUGUCAUGAAAAUAUCAACCUUGACUUGGGUUUAGUGCUCUUGUCUGGGCUUGGAUUUGGCUGUUUGCCGCUCGAAAGAGUCGGCUCAGCUUAAAAGUAUUAGCUGGAUCUGUCUUUGAGACUUGGUUUGACUUGGCGUAAUAAGUUAUUUCGCUGAGGACAAUCUUCGGAUUGGCCGAGUUUCUGGGACGUUUGUCCGCUUUCUAAUACAAGUUCUAGCUUGCUAGACAUGACUUUUUUAUUAUCUGGCCUCAAAUCAGGUAGGACUACCCGCUGAACUUAA